rnacentral:rRNA from 1 species
UACAGAGGUCUCAAGCGUUGUUCGGAUUCAUUGGGCGUAAAGGGUGCGUAGGCGGCGCGGCAAGUCGGGCGUGAAAUCUCGGGGCUUAACUCCGAAACUGCAUUCGAUACUGCCGUGCUUGAGGACUGGAGAGGAGACUGGAAUUUACGGUGUAGCGGUGAAAUGCGUAGAUAUCGUAAGGAAGACCAGUGGCGAAGGCGAGUCUCUGGGCAGUUACCGACGCUGAGGCACGAAGGUCAGGGGAGCAAACGGG